AAAAAAGGGUCGAAAGACCUAUUUUCUACUGAAACUCUACUAUCCUUUUUAGAUGGUAGAUGUUUCUUUAAAAUCCAAUAAACAUACCGUCUUUAGACGAACCAAAAAUAAAAUUUUAAA
rnacentral:misc_RNA from 1 species